rnacentral:tRNA from 1 species
GCGGGAGUAUGGCAACGUGUCCCGACGCGCCGCAGAAAAGCUUCGAAUUCAGACUACGAAUCUGAGGGUCGGACGUUCGAAUCGUUCCGGGCGCGCCA